rnacentral:rRNA from 1 species
CUGCAAAGCUAGGGAGUGGGAGAGGUAGACGGUACUCGGUAGGAAGGGGUAAAAUCCUUUGAUCUAUUGAUGACCACCAGUGGCGAAGGCGGUCUACCAGAACACGUUCGACGGUGAGGGAUGAAAGCUGGGGGAGCAAACCGGAUUAGAUACCCGGGUAGUCCCAGCUGUAAACGAUGCAGACUCGGUGAUGCCCUGGCUUGUGGCCAGUGCAGUGCCGCAGGGAAGCCGUUAAGUUUGCCGCCUGGGAAGUACGUACGCAAGUAUGAAACUUAAAGGAAUUGGCGGGGGAGCACCACAAGGGGUGAAGCCUGCGGUUCAAUUGGAGUCAACGCCAGAAAUCUUACCCGAAGAGAUAGCAGAAUGAAGGUCAAGCUGGAGACUUUACCAGACAAGCUGAGAAGUGGUGCAUGGCCGUCGCCAGCUCGUGCCGUGAG